rnacentral:rRNA from 1 species
GACAGAGGGUGCAAACGUUGUUCGGAAUUACUGGGCGUAAAGCGCGUGUAGGCGGCUUCGCAAGUCGGAUGUGAAAUCCCACGGCUCAACCGUGGAAGUGCAUUCGAAACUGCAAGGCUAGAGUCCUGGAGAGGAAGGUGGAAUGCUUGGUGUAGAGGUGAAAUUCGUAGAUAUCAAGCGGAACACCGGUGGCGAAGGCGGCCUUCUGGACAGUGACUGACGCUGAGACGCGAAAGCGUGGGGAGCGAACAGG